GGGAAACACCUGUUUCCAGACGAUUACCGAAGUUAAGCAACGUCAAGUCUGGUCAGUACCUAGAUGGGUGACCACUCGAGAAUAUCAGGUGCUGUCAG